rnacentral:tRNA from 1 species
UUUUGCAUAGUUUAAAAUAAAACACUACACUUUCACUGCAGAGACAGGCAUUUUCCUUGCAAUAC